rnacentral:lncRNA from 1 species
AAAUGAGAGACUUUCAAAACAAUCCCAUUCCUCGAAGAAAAAGACAUUCAAGAUAGUCAAUAAUGCUUUCUUUUAUUACAAAGUUUUUUCAGUAAUAUGAACAUGUUUGGUAAAUGAAAUAAAAUUUCAAAAAUGAUAAUCUUGAUACAAAAAUUCGUUUUGUUUGAUUUGUUUGUCAUGACAACAUGAUCAUGUUAAAGAACCAAUCCAUUUGUCCUGUUAAGGAACAUCAAUUUAUUUCUUAUUCUCCUUAUUCAAUUCUUUUCGCAUACUUUUCUGAGUCUUCCUAGACAAUAAAGAAUCAUUCCUUUUCUUGGAAUACAUGUAUGCUUUGCUAAAUGCAUUCAUUCGAAGAUCAAUCCAACAGGAAACAAACUUGCACAGAAGUUUUAACUUAAGUUGGUCAUUAUCAAAGCUUU